rnacentral:lncRNA from 1 species
GAGUGUUGACAUUCAGGGAUGUGGCUGUAGAAUUCUCCCCAGAAGAGUGGGAAUGCCUGGACUCUGCUCAGCAGCGUUUGUAUAGGGAUGUGAUGUUGGAGAACUACAGAAAUCUGGUCUCCUUGGGUCUUGCUAUCUUUAAGCCAGACUUGAUGACCUGUCUGGAGCAAAGAAAAGAGCCCUGGAAUGUGAAGAGACAGGAGGCAGUAGCCAAACACCCAUCACCUUGCUGUUUUCAUUUUACUGCGGAGGUAUUGCCAGAGCAUGACAUAAAAGAUUCAUUUCAAAAGGUGAUUCUUAGAAAAUAUGGAAGCAGUGACCUUAAUACUUUACAUUUAAAGAAAGACUACCAAAGUGUGGGUAAUUGCAAGGGGCAGAAAAGCAGAUACAAUGGCCUUCAUCAAUGUUUGUCAACUACCCGUAGCAAAACCAGUCAAUGUAAUAAAUGUGGUAAAGCUUUUGGGUUGUGCUCAAUCUUCACUGAACAUAAGGAAAUUUUUAGCAAAGAGAAAUGCUACAAAUGUGAGGAAUGUGGCAAAGACUGUAGGUUGUUCUCAGAUUUUACUCUACAGAAGAGAAUCCAUACUGCAGAGAGAUGCUACAAAUGUGAAGAUUGUGCCAAAGUUUUUAAAAAGUUCUCAAACCUUACUGAACAUAAUAGAGUUCAUCCUGGAGAGAAACCCUACAAAUGUGAAGAAUGUGGCAAAACCUUUACCUGUUCCUCAACCCUUAUUAAACACAAGAGAAAUCAUUCUGGAGACAGACCCGGCAAAUGUGAAGAAUGUAACAAAGCGUACAGGUGGUUCUCACACCUUGCUAAACAUAAGAGAAUUCAUACUGGAGAGAAAUCCUACAAAUGUAAUGAAUGUGGAAAAGCUUUUACAUGGAUCUCGGUCCUUAGUCAUCAUAAGAAAAUUCAUACUAGAGAGAAACCCUACAUCUGUGAAGGAUGUGGCAAAGCCUUUACCCGCUCCUCAACCCUGAUUAGCCACAAGAGAAUUCAUAUGGAAGAGAGACCCUACAAAUGUGAAGAAUGUAACAAAGCCUACAAGUGGUUCUCAAACCUUGCUUGACAUAAGAUAAUGCAUACUGGACAGAAACCCUACAAAUGUAAUGAAUGUGGAAAAGCUUUUACGUGGAUUUUUUCCCUUAGUCAACAUAAGAGAAUUCAUACUGGAGAGAAACCCUACAAAUGUAAUGAAUGUGGAAAGGCUUUUACGUGUAUCUUGGCCCUUAGUCAACAUAAAAUAAUUCAUGUUGGAGAGAAACCCUACAUCUGUGAAGAAUGUGGCAAAGCCUUUACCCGCUCCUCAACCCUUACUAACCACAAGAGAAUUCAUAUGGAAGAGAGGCCUUACAAAUGUGAAGAAUGCAGCAAAACAUUUAAGUGCUUCUCAGACCUCACUAAUUAUAAGAGAAUUCACACUGGAGAGAAACCCUACAAAUGAGAAGAAUGUGGAAAAGCAUCGAGCUCGUUCUCACACUUCAUUAGACAUAAGAGGAUUCAUACUAGAGAGAAGCUCCACAAGUGUUAAAAAUGUGGAGAAGCCUUUAACAAGUUGUCAUAUUGUGUUCAACAUCAGAGACAAUA